AUUGAACGCUGGCGGCAUGCCUUACACAUGCAAGUCGAACGGUAACGGGCCUUCGGGUGCCGACGAGUGGCGAACGGGUGAGUAAUACAUCGGAACGUGCCCGAUCGUGGGGGAUAACGGGGCGAAAGCUUUGCUAAUACCGCAUACGAUCUACGGAUGAAAGCAGGGGACCGCAAGGCCUUGCGCGGACGGAGCGGGCGAUGGCAGAUUAGGUAGUUGGUGGGAUAAAAGCUUACCAAGCCGACGAUCUGUAGCUGGUCUGAGAGGAUGAUCAGCCACACUGGGACUGAGACACGGCCCAGACUCCUACGGGAGGCAGCAGUGGGGAAUUUUGGACAAUGGGCGCAAGCCUGAUCCAGCCAUGCCGCGUGCAGGAUGAAGGCCUUCGGGUUGUAAACUGCUUUUGUACGGAACGAAAAGCCUUCUUUUAAUACAGGAGGGUCAUGACGGUACCGUAAGAAUAAGCACCGGCUAACUACGUG
rnacentral:rRNA from 1 species